UGCCCAGCCCCCUCGAGGGAGCGUUGCAGCCUUGGCCGAUUCAUUACCCCUCUCGCCCAGCCGGCCGCGCCUACUUGGCCGCGUGCUGUGUGCGCGUGCGCCAGGUCGGGAUUUGGAGGGGGUCGGAAGACUGUUGCGCGGCCAAGGCCGCGAGCUCUACUGGAAGGCGGGGGACGGAGGCGUCCGGGCAGGCCUGGAUGGGGGAGGGGGCGUUAACUCGGAAAAGGAAGGAAGUGGGUGUCACGGGCUGCACACCCUGCCCUUUUGGGGUUGUCAGACGAAGGUCAGAAAGGACUGCUCCAGAUUUCCCCAUUUCAUGUCUAAAUGCAAAUCUCUGGAACCCUCACUAACUCCUUCAUGUCAUGAACCUCAACAGUUCCUUCAGAGCAGCACACCCUUUAGUAAUGAUCAUCUCUAGAGCAUUCUGUGGGCAGAGUCUCUUCCAGUAGGAGUAGCAGGCUCAGAGUGACGCUCUCUUCCGAGGGCACCCACCCGGCCAUCGGCCUGCCUUAGAGGCCUGUCCAGGUCACGCAUACAACUCUAGUGACACUUAGACUUCUUCCAUUAACGUAACCCAAUGACAGGUGUUCUUGUGCAGCCUUCUUGUGUAUGGUCAUACGAAGAAAAAUACAAGGCUAGAUGUAGACUGCGAUGUUAGAUUCAAAACCUGAAAUAUGUGCCUUAUGUCAGUUGUGUAUUCUCUUAUGGCAUGAGUCCCUCGAUUAAGACAUAUGUCCCUUGAGAACUAGCUUUUUGUUGUUUUUAACACGACUUAGAAGCUGUCAUGGCCUAAGUUGGGGCAUUCCUGAUACAGGACUUAGGUGAACAUCUGUCCCCCAUUUGUCAUAUUUGUCCCGUGGACAGUUUUUUUAGGUUGAUAACCUGGGUGCAAAUAUAAUGGGGAAAUAGCUUCAGAUCUGCUCCUCUACCCCCAAAUUUCAUUUCCUGGUUGCUAGAGAAUAGGAGAAGGAUUAAGGAACAAUGAGAAUUGAACCAAUAACAAAAAGCAUUACUGCUUUGAGGUCUUAAAAUUCUGGUUCAUCUUUGCCACUUCUCCCCCAAAGAUUUUAGAAGGUGACUGUUCAUGGAUUGAUUUUGAUCACAUGUUUCUUCAUAACAUUUGAAAGAGUAUCCUUCCUGCAUUUGGGUUUGUAGGGGCCUAAACUGAAAUUUUGACAGAAUGGAAGCACUGGAAAUGGGUUGUGAGGGGAGACAGUGUGGGAUAUUAAGGAAGCGAGGAUAAGAAGAUCCUAGUUGGUGGAGAUAACAGAGAGAGCUUAGAGAAAGAAUGAAGACCAAAAACAUGGAGUGGGUGGCAGAUCUAGCAGAUUAUUCUGAUAGUAAUGAUAAGCUGCAUUCUUGAGCAUGAGGAUUUGUAUAUUGCUUAUGGUGACCAAAAAACAUGACUAUUUUCUCAUUUGAGGACUCCUAAGAGUUCUGGCAAUAAAGUAGAAAGACGUAGGGAGGGGUGAGAGUUUAGUGCCAGAAUGAUCAUCUGGGAUCCAGCAGAUCUCAGUGCACAUUGCUUUAGUGUCCCCACCCUACCCCCAACUUGAAAAAUCACGGACUAGGGUAAAGGAGUAACGGGGUAGGAUACACAGGGCUCUGCGUGUACCUGGAUGCUGUUGUGGAAAUUCCUGGAGCAGGUAUAGCCAGUAAGGGCUCACCUGCUAUGUCUAACUGAGGCCUUCAAAUUGGAAGGCACCUGAUAACUUACUAAAUGAUGAGCUCCUUAAGGUAAAGACCCUGUGUACCCACUGUAGAUCUUUUCCAUCCUGAACCUCCCAAAUAAUGAUCAAUGAUCUAGUUUGGGGCGUCCUUGUGGCAACCUGUAGUUCUCCUGAAAUCAAGGGUUUGAGACUGCUUGCUGAAGGAAUUGUAUAUUUCACAAGUAUAAAGCCCAUAGUUGAAGAUUUUUAAAAACACAAAAAAACCUGUUUCAGUUCACUUUGGGGGUGAGGGGGUAGGUCUCAUCUUGCAGCAGGUGCAGAUUGUUCAACACAAUAUUCAGAGAGGUAUUCAAAUGGCUCCACUAUUUUGUCAAAUCCUAGUUCCAGGGUCCCUACUCCAGCUCCCUUCAGAGCCCUAAUGCUUCCUGCUCCUUGUAAAAGAUAAAAACUCAGUUGUAAAACUGAACAGCAUUUUGACUUCCCACCCCGUGAGGCUGAAAAGGAGGAAGAGGUGGAAGGGGAAGGUAGGUUGUACCAGGAGCAAAGUCCUGAAGAUAGAAGAAUAAGCCUCAAAAGCUGAGAUCCUAAGGUGAUUGAUUAGUUAGCCCGUCCAGAGCUAAAGGUUAAACACAGGCUAACAACAGCCCAGAGGAGAACAAUUGGAUAAUUCAUUAAUUGUGUUUCUGUUUAUAUACCCUCCCCCACCCCUCACUUUCUAGGCUAAUGUAGGUUCUGUCUGGAUUAGAGGCAAAUUUUUGGAACUAGACAGGAUCUUGGAGCUCAUGACUCAUUCUCCACACCUGGCAUGUGAAUAAACAGGUUAAGCACUAACAGGUGACUUGGCCAAAACCACACAGCUAGUUAGUGGCAGAGCUAGGAUUAGAACCCCUCUCUCCCUCUUCAGAGCCAAUUACUCUUCCCGUUUGUCUCCUAAAUGGCCAACAAUUUCUUCCCACCCUGUAUGUGCACGACACGCCAUCCUUCUACAGGUAGCGUCUCUUUUUCCUCCCCUUGACUUGGUUUGUGACUUCAUUUAACCAGUAGGAUGCAGUGGAAGCGACAUUCUCGGACUUUCACGCUCAAGCCCUAAGAGGUCUGGCAGCUCCUGCCUUCUGCUCUGGGAAGUCAGCCUCCAUGCAUUAAAGAAGCUUGGGUUACAUUGCUGAGUGAUGAGACACAGCACAUGAGUGGUGAGGCAACGUGCAAGAGAGGCCUUCGUGGACCUUCCAACCCAGCCCAGCCACAAGGUGAAGGCAGCUGAGUGAGUGACUCCCACCAAAUCACAUGGAGCAGAUCUACCCAGCUGACUACUAUCCCCAUUCCUAACCCAGAGAAUCACGAGAAGCAGACACUAAAAGACCACGACAUCCUCUGCCUUCCUCUGUUCACUCGAUUAUCAUAAUUAAGAAAUCAAGACAUUAGACUAUGGUUAGGCUUCAGAAGAAUAUCAAGGAAGCUCGUCAACCAAACGGUUCCAUGUUUGUCAACAGCUCUCAUCAAGACAAGGUGGUUUUCUGCUUCAAACUUGACACUAACACUGAGGUGGGUCAAAAAGGAUCUUGCUGUGAUUUAUGUCAUAGAGUGUUCUAAGGCAGCUGAGUUUUGAAAGCAACUACACACAGAAAUUCUCAGGCAACAAAUCUCUCUGAGCACGAUCUUCCUCCUUGGUAAAAUGAAGAGAAUCCCCCAUGCCCUACUUUUGCACAAGAAUGUUUUGCGGGGGGAAAGAAAUCAGACAACGAGGAACGUGAAUUGAACGUUUCCCAUGAUCUAGAUCCUCUUCAUGCGCUACAAGCGUCAUCCCACCAAAUCCUCAUAAUGACUUUAUGAGAUAGGCCCAGAGAUCAGACUGAGGCUUGGAGAGGUUCAAUGCCCAGCCCACGCCACAUCAAGAUGUGAACUGACUUCUAACUGCUAAGCUAGUUGACCUCCAAUACAAGAUAUACGAAAACAGCUGUUAAACGGUAAAACACUAGGUCAGUGUCAAACAUCACUAUUAUCAAAACUUCCUAGUUGUGAAUCUUUAUUUAAAAGUUACGUAUGUGUAUGUGAACAUCUCCAUAUGUUAUUUUUAUAAGUUUCUAUCUGUCGAUUUGGGGGAGGGAUGAUGUUUCUAUUCAGAUGACUUUUUAGAGGGCAGUGACAUAUGAUCAGUGUAGAAUAUCUGGAAAAUAAAGGAAAGUCUUAAGACGUACAAAUGUGAUGGCAAGUCACACAUAGAAGCAUGUUGGUAUAGCAGCAACCUUCAUUUCCCCAAAAAAGAAGGCCAUCAGAACACUCUUCUCGGAGGAAGAAGAGAGCCUUUUAGCACCAGCCCGUAGUUAGAACUCUGAUAUUUGUUAAGUAAGGGUCAGGAUGACUAACUGACCAUGGCAAGUUGUCAUAGGUUUUCAGCUAUCAUUAGAUCAGACAAAUUAAUAGAAUUGCAUGCUAAGCAACAAAAUGAUUCAACAGAGGUAGGAUUUAGCAGACCCCUGGAGGCUCUAGAUUUGCCAAGAUCCCUGAAGAAACGUUCAUUCCUAGCAGUUCCAGGUCUAAGAGAAAGGUUUCAGUGGCAUAGCAGUCUGCAUGGGGUGAUGCAGAAGGUAUUCAUUUGUAAAGAAUGACCUAAGUGUUGAUUCAGGCGAGUGUUCAUGCUGGGAUCAGAGCAGAGGGUCAGAGAAUUCCUACAAUUCAGAGUUGUACCUUGGAUGUCAGAAGGACAUUUGAGGCAGGCAUGUGUGUCGAAAGCAGGAGACGGGACUCUCGCCAUGAGGGGCUCUUUCAAGGGAGGAGGUUAUUGCUAGAAAUGAGCAGUUGCGAAUGUCUGGCUGUGCUUUUAGGUAACUGCUGGAAAGCAGAAAUCUAAGGCAGGAGCUGGAGGAUGCCACAGGACUGGAAAGACUUCCAAGGAGCCGGUCGAGAUUGUGUUCAGAGGCGAAAGAAUCUCCCAAUGACGUCAAAUGUAUCUGCCCCUAUCUCCAUUCCUAUCAAAAACGGAGGCCCGUUUUGUCUUUCCCUGAGCUCUCUUCAAUUCCCUUCUAAUGUCCACCUCACUCACACUGAGAGGAAUAACAUGUUCAUAUGGUUUCCCCAGACAGGGUCCGGGGGAAGGCCCUUCCCCAGGUUCAGGGGCUGCAAUGAACCCUCUGAAACCACCACUUUUUCAUUCAAACGUAAUCCGAAACCAUCUCUGUCCCCCCUCGAUUCUUUCUAUGGCAUCUUUAGCUACUAACUCGGAAAGGGAAAAUUCCAGGAAAAAAUAUGAUCGUGGUGGGGUACACACACACAAACACCCCACACCCUCAAAGUGCCCCCAGUGACAUGUUAAGCACUCUUCCCAAGAUUGUGAACAAAGUUCCCCAAUCCCAUUAAUCCUACCCUUUGUUCUUUUGUAAGCACGAGCAAUCCAGUUCUCUGAUUCCUGGUCAGUUAUGGGCCACACGUGGAAGCAGAGAAAGAACUGACCUUAAUCUCUUUCAAGAAAACUUUCCUGCGCUGACAGUUCAUGUAAUUCUGCGACCUGAAUCCUCUUAGACACUUAGUAUAGACCUAACUAUACUACACUUACGUUACACAUAAGGGAGCAUGAACUUUGUCACUGAAACAAAAUAAUUUGCUUAAAGAACAGGCACCCCUUAAGCACAGAAGGUGCUUAAUACAUCCAUUAAUUUAAAAAACACAAACCCUAGAAUGUCUGAAAUAUCACGAAAGGAAGUUUUCAAUUAAUGUAAUUAUUUCCUAUUAUACACUAACCAAACAGUAAUUUGACCUUAUCCCAGUCUUCCUUUCCUUAAAAAAAA